GAUGAACGCUGGCGGCGUGCCUAAUACAUGCAAGUCGAGCGAACUGAUUAGAAGCUUGCUUCUAUGACGUUAGCGGCGGACGGGUGAGUAACACGUGGGCAACCUGCCUGUAAGACUGGGAUAACUUCGGGAAACCGAAGCUAAUACCGGAGAGGAGCUUCUCCUUCAUGGGAGAUGAUUGAAAGAUGGUUUCGGCUAUCACUUACAGAUGGGCCCGCGCUGCAUUAGCUAGUUGGUGAGGUAACGGCUCACCAAGGCAACGAUGCAUAGCCGACCUGAGAGGGUGAUCGGCCACACUGGGACUGAGACACGGCCCAGACUCCUACGGGAGGCAGCAGUAGGGAAUCUUCCGCAAUGGACGAAAGUCUGACGGGGCAACGCCGCGUGAGUGAUGAAGGCUUUCGGGUCGUAAAACUCUGUUGUUAGGGAAGAACAAGUACAAGAGUAACUGCUUGUACCUUGACGGUACCUAACCAGAAAGCCACGGCUAACUACGUGCCAGCAGCCGCCGUAACAC
rnacentral:rRNA from 1 species